UCGGGCGGCCGUAGCGCGGUGGUCCCACCUGACCCCAUGCCGAACUCAGAAGUGAAACGCCGUAGCGCCGAUGGUAGUGUGGGGUCUCCCCAUGCGAGAGUAGGGAACUGCCAGGC
rnacentral:rRNA from 1 species